AGAGUUUGAUCCUGACUCAGAAUCAACGCUGGCGGCGUGCCUAACACAUGCAAGUCGAACGAGAAAGGGUAGCAAUACCCGAGUAAAGUGGCGCACGGGUGAGUAACACGUGACUAACCUACCUUUUAGUGGGGGAUAACCUAGGGAAACCUGGGCUAAUACCGCAUAACACCUACGGGUCAAAGCAGCAAUGCGCUGAUAGAGGGGGUCGCGGUCGAUUAGUUAGUUGGCAGGGUAAUGGCCUACCAAGACUGUGAUCGAUAUCCGGCCUGAGAGGGCGCACGGACACACUGGAACUGAAACACGGUCCAGACUCCUACGGGAGGCAGCAGUGGGGAAUUUUGCGCAAUGGGGGAAACCCUGACGCAGCAACGCCGCGUGGAGGAUGAAGUCCCUUGGGACGUAAACUCCUUUCGAUCGGGACGAUAAUGACGGUACCGGAAGAAGAAGCCCCGGCUAACUUCGUGCCAGCAGCCGCGGUAAUACGAGGGGGGCAAGCGUUGUUCGGAAUUAUUGGGCGUAAAGGGUGCGUAGGUGGUUCGGCAAGUCUUGUGUGAAAUCUUCAGGCUCAACUUGAAGUCUGCACAAGAAACUGCCGGGCUC
rnacentral:rRNA from 1 species